GGAAGCUCCUGUUUGCACUUUUUGUGAAGCCACUGUUGUUUCUGAGCCCUCCAGUGCACCAAGAUCCAGCCAAGCAUGCUCCUCAGCUCCUCCAUGCGCUCUUUGACCUGCAACACAUGACUCAGGGUCCAGCUCUGCAGCGAGCGGCUUCCGGCCAUCUUUCCCAAUAUGCAAGGCAGCGUCAGAGAAAAUCGAGGUAGCUCCUGAAGAAGUCCUGGAGAUGCACAAACUCCUGCACCCGUGAUUUGUUCUCCGUCACACUCCUCCCCAGCUCCGUCCAGCCCUGCAGCAUCGCCCCGAUCUUCGCCCCGAGCACGUGCACCUUCUCUGGGCACAGCUCCUCCAGCCGAGAGGCCUGCUCCUGCACCUCCUUCACCUCCUCCCUGAUGACUUCAUAGGCGACCUGUGGAGAGUCACACUACAUAUCCAUCAUCUCCCAUCAUGCACUGUAUCGCUCAGGCAGCCUGUAGCAAUAGUAUCUCUGUAUGACCUCAUCAAUGCUUUUUGCAUAUCAUUCAGCUGGAGAGCCAUAUGGUCUACAUAUGGGCUGCCACGCCAAAGCAAGCUCCCACUGUUUUUUCUCCCUUUGACGAGCCGUAAUUAAUAGUGUUGACUGCUCUCUGGGAAGUAUACUCCAUAAUGUUUCUCAGCUACAGUAAGCCUGAACACAGAGCUGUGGAUGCCUGUCUGCUGACGACACGCUUAUUUCAGUUUGGGAGAUUAGCUCAUUUCUGCUCUUCAGUCGUAUCAAGUCCAGACAGCUGUGUGUGUGUGUGUGAUACACACCACACUGCCAAAAAAUGACUCACACACAACUUUACCAUCAACCAAGAUCACACCUUCAACCAAUGACCCCCAGGAGGCAAAACACACCGCACCUGAUAUUCUCACAAACACACACACACACCCAUGUCACACACUCUUACAUUGUGAACAAUAAUGACUCACACACGCAUAAAUAAACAUCCUGUGUGAAUAACAAA